rnacentral:rRNA from 1 species
UUGGUUAAGUUAGAAAGGGCGCACGGUGGAUGCCUUGGCACUAGGAGCCGAAGAAGGACGGGACUAACACCGAUAUGCUUUGGGGAGCUGUACGUAAGCGUUGAUCCAGAGAUUUCCGAAUGGGGGAACCCACUAUCUUUAGUCGGAUAGUAUCCUUACGUGAAUACAUAGCGUGAGGAAGGCAGACCCAGGGAACUGAAACAUCUAAGUACCUGGAGGAAGAGAAAGAAAAAUCGAUUUCCUGAGUAGCGGCGAGCGAAACGGAAAGAGCCCAAACCAAGAAGCUUGCUUCUUGGGGUUGUAGGACACUCUAUACGGAGUUACAAAAGAAAGUUAUAAAUGAAGCGGUCUGGAAAGGCCCGCCAAAGACGGUAACAGCCCGGUAGUUGAAAUGGCUUUCCCUCCAGAGUGGAUCCUGAGUACGGCGGAACACGUGAAAUUCCGUCGGAAUCCGGGAGGACCAUCUCCCAAGGCUAAAUACUCCCUAGUGACCGAUAGUGAACCAGUACCGUGAGGGAAAGGUGAAAAGCACCCCGGAAGGGGAGUGAAACAGUUCCUGAAACCGUGUGCCUACAAGUAGUUAGAGCCCGUUAAUGGGNGGAGCCGUAGCGAAAGCGAGUCUGAAUAGGGCGCAUAAGUAACAGGUCGUAGACCCGAAACCAGGUGAUCUACCCAUGUCCAGGAUGAAGGUAAGGUAAUACUUACUGGAGGUCCGAACCCACGCACGUUGAAAAGUGCGGGGAUGAGGUGUGGGUAGCGGAGAAAUUCCAAUCGAACUUGGAGAUAGCUGGUUCUCUCCGAAAUAGCUUUAGGGCUAGCCUCGAGGUAAAGAGUCAUGGAGGUAGAGCACUGUUUGGACUAGGGGCCCUUCUCGGGUUACCGAAUUCAGAUAAACUCCGAAUGCCAUGUACUUAUACUCGGGAGUCAGACUGCGAGUGAUAAGAUCCGUAGUCGAAAGGGAAACAGCCCAGACCACCAGUUAAGGUCCCCAAAUAUAUGUUAAGUGGAAAAGGAUGUGGGGUUGCUUAGACAACCAGGAUGUUGGCUUAGAAGCAGCCACCAUUGAAAGAGUGCGUAAUAGCUCACUGGUCGAGUGACCCCGCGCCGAAAAUGUACCGGGGCUAAACAUAUUACCGAAACUGUGGAUGAACCUCUUUAGAGGUUCGUGGUAGGAGAGCGUUCUAAGGGCGGUGAAGUCAGACCGGAAGGACUGGUGGAGCGCUUAGAAGUGAGAAUGCCGGUAUGAGUAGCGAAAGAAGGGUGAGAAUCCCUUCCACCGAAUAUCUAAGGUUUCCUGAGGAAGGCUCGUCCGCUCAGGGUUAGUCGGGACCUAAGCCGAGGCCGAUAGGCGUAGGCGAUGGACAACAGGUAGAGAUUCCUGUACCAGUGCUAAUUGUUUAACCGAUGGGGUGACACAGAAGGAUAGGGAAUCGCACGAAUGGAAAUGUGCGUCCAAGCAGUGAGUGUGAGAAGUAGGCAAAUCCGCUUCUCGCGAAGCAUGAGCUGUGAUGGGGAAGGAAAUUAAGUACGGAAGUUCCUGAUUUCACGCUGUCAAGAAAAGCCUCUAGGAAGAGUAGUACUGCCCGUACCGCAAACCGACACAGGUAGAUGAGGAGAGAAUCCUAAGGUGAGCGAGAGAACUCUCGUUAAGGAACUCGGCAAAAUGACCCCGUAACUUCGGGAGAAGGGGUGCUCUAUUAGGGUGCAAGCCCGAGAGAGCCGCAGUGAAUAGGCCCAGGCGACUGUUUAGCAAAAACACAGGUCUCUGCAAAACCGUAAGGUGACGUAUAGGGGCUGACGCCUGCCCGGUGCUGGAAGGUUAAGAGGAGUGCUUAGCUUCGGCGAAGGUACGAAUUGAAGCCCCAGUAAACGGCGGCCGUAACUAUAACGGUCCUAAGGUAGCGAAAUUCCUUGUCGGGUAAGUUCCGACCCGCACGAAAGGCGCAACGAUCUGGGCACUGUCUCAACGAGAGACUCGGUGAAAUUAUAGUACCUGUGAAGAUGCAGGUUACCCGCGACAGGACGGAAAGACCCCGUGGAGCUUUACUGCAACCUGAUAUGGAAUGUUUGUACCGCUUGUACAGGAUAGGUAGGAGCCGAAGAGACGUGUGCGCUAGCAUACGAGGAGGCAAUGGUGGGAUACUCCCCUGGCUGUAUGACCAUUCUAACCCGCCACGCUUAGCGCGUGGGGAGACAGUGUCAGGUGGGCAGUUUGACUGGGGCGGUCGCCUCCUAAAGAGNUCCCUCAGAAUGGAUGGAAAUCAUUCGCAGAGUGUAAAGGCACAAGGGAGCUUGACUGCGAGACUGACAAGUCGAGCAGGGACGAAAGUCGGGCUUAGUGAUCCGGUGGUUCCGCAUGGAAGGGCCAUCGCUCAACGGAUAAAAGCUACCCCGGGGAUAACAGGCUUAUCUCCCCCAAGAGUCCACAUCGACGGGGAGGUUUGGCACCUCGAUGUCGGCUCGUCGCAUCCUGGGGCUGUAGUCGGUCCCAAGGGCUGGGCUGUUCGCCCAUUAAAGCGGCACGCGAGCUGGGUUCAGAACGUCGUGAGACAGUUCGGUCCCUAUCCGUCGCGGGCGCAGGAAAUUUGAGAGGAGCUGUCCUUAGUACGAGAGGACCGGGAUGGACACACCGCUGGUGUACCAGUUGUUCCGCCAGGAGCAUCGCUGGGUAGCUAUGUGUGGCAGGGAUAAACGCUGAAAGCAUCUAAGCGUGAAGCCCCCCUCAAGAUGAGAUUUCCCAUUUCUUCGGAAAGUAAGAUCCCUGAAAGAUGAUCAGGUAGAUAGGUUUGGAGUGGAAGUGUAGCGAUACAUGGAGCGGACAAAUACUAAUCGAUCGAGGACUUAACCAAAA